UGGAGACACACAGAGAUGGCUGAUGCUGUGGUAACGUUUAUGUUAGGAAAAUUGAGUGAACUACUUGAUAAAGAAGUUCGACUAAUCUCGGGACUUGGUGCCGAUGUUGAAUGGAUCAAGCCCCAGCUUGAAAUCACGAAAGAGUUCCUCAAAGACGCUGAUAACAUAAAAGAGAGUGAUGGAGUGGUGGAUAUUUGGGUGGGGCAGGUGCGAGACUGGUCCUAUGAUGCUGAAGACAUCCUUGAUGAAUUCAUUGUCCAGAUGGGGAGUGUUGGGCUGCCUUUUCUAUGAGCCUCGUCUUGUCAAGGAAGUGAAAGUUAAACACCAAUUUGCAAGAAAUAUGCAGAAUAUUAGAUUGCGUGCUGAUAUUUUAGAGAGAAGGAACUGGCCCAUGAUUCAACGUGAUGAAGCAGCGAGCUCCUCAAAUGUCAUGGCUACAACAACUGUAAAUUCACGAUCACUUUCUUCUUUGGUUGAGGGAGCACAUAUCAUUGGAAUUGAGCGUAAAGUGGAAAGAGUAGAAGGGUGGUUGCUGCAAGGUGAGCCACAACACAAGGUAAUCUCCAUUGUUGGCGUGGGUGGUUUGGGAAAAACUACUCUUGCACAAACAAUUUAUAAUAGGCGCAGUAUUAAAGAACAUUUUCAUUGUCGUCCUUGGAUUACUGUGUCAGUCAUUCACACCGGAAAGGAUUUUAAGCACCAUCCUAGUACAAUUAAAAUGGAUGUGAGUUCUUUGCGACAAGAGCUCCGUGGGUACUUAGUAGAUAAGACUUUCCUUGUGGUGUUGGAUGAUGUAUGGAGUGAUCUGGUGUGGGCAGAAGUGUAUACUUCAUUUCCAGAUACAGGUAAUGCCAAUCGGUUCAUCAUUACGACUCGUAUUGGAGACGUGGCUACACCAUUACAUGUAAGCAGUGUAGUCUAUCCCCUUGAAUUGCUGUCGAAAUAUGAUGCUUGGUCCCUCUUUUCUGAAAAUGCAUUUUGGGAGGAAGCUCAAAAUGCAUGUCCCCUAGAACUAGUGGAUGAAGCAAGUCUCAUUGUUAAGAAAUGUGGGGGUCUACCAUUGGCGAUUGUUGCUAUUGGGGGCAUGAUGUCUAAGAAGGACAGGAAUCCACGAGUAUGGGCACAAGUUCAAUGCAGUCUAGAAUGGAAAUUGAAUAAUCAAUCCAAUUUUGAAUUGGUGAGGGGCGAUGUGGUGAGGGGUGUUUUGUUGCUGACUUACAAGGAUUUGCCGCCUCUCCUAAAGCAUUGUUGCUUAUAUUGUUGCUCAUACCCCGAGGACUAUGAGAUUUCCCAUUUGAAAUUGGUUAGGCAAUGGAUAGCUGAGGGAUUUAUAGAGAAAAGACCAAGAAUGAUAGAUGAGGAGGUAGCUGAGGAAUAGUUUAAAGACUUGCUCGAUAGGAAUUUGAUUCUUGUGACGAAAAUCGGUAAGAGUGGGCAAGUCAAAGCAUGUCGGGUGCACGAUGUAGUACGUGCACUUGGCGUUUCUUUAUUGCAAAGAGAGAAGUUUGGAGUAUUUCAUGAUGACCAAAAUCAGAAACUUGAGACAAAGACUCGGAGAGUCUCCAUGAGCAGCAGUGCUUCAUGUAUCCAUAAACCCAUGGAAAUGUCUCGUCUCCGAACGUUCCUCACUUUCGACAUAAAUAUAGAAACAGGAACAAAUUCAGUUCCUGGAUCUGUUAUGCCUGGCUUGUUGUGUAGCUCAAGAUUCAUAUGUUGUCUCAGAACAUUCCUUGUUUUCUUCACUCGUAAAGAUAUACAAACAGAAUCAGUACUUGGCCCGGUUAUACCUGGUUUGUUGUGUGGAUCAAGAUUUUUAAGGGUUUUGGACCUUCAAGGCUUGGAACUUGAGCGUUUGCCAGAAGAAGUGGGGCAACUCAUUCUUCUUAGGUACCUGGCACUACGGCGAUCGCACUCAGAUAACACGCCUCCAAACUCUACACUUGAAUUGUAGGGGAGAGGGUAAUUUGCCGAGUGGGAUAUCAAAUAUGAAGAGUUUGACAUGCUUGAAAUUGUCUUAUGGGGGCUCUAUGAGAGCUUAAAUGCUCCAGAAAGAACUGGAGGCUUGACUAACCUCCGAACUUUGAAAAAUGUAGCCAUUGAUUCAAAGUUUGCCAGAUACCUGGCCAAUUUGAUGCAGCUUCGUUCGUUGAAUAUUGAGCUAAAGACGGACGUAGAUGGGGAGGUGUUCUGCGCCUCCAUCCACAAAAUGAAAUUGUUGCGUUCCUUGGAUAUCCUCCCAAUCCCUGGGUCCUUUAGAGGGGAGGGAAUUAUUAUCGUCUCCCCAAAUGAGGACUCUUCAGAAACUACGUCUUUGGGGAAAACUAGAGAAGCUACCAAGUUGGUUUAAUUCUUCCCUCUCGUCCCUCACCGUUAUAGAAGUAACCUUUUGUUCUCUGAGGGAGGAUCCAUUUGGUAUCUUUCAAACUUUGCCCAAUCUCAUGCAUACUUGGGUGAGCGAAUAGGAGAAUGCAGCGCAGAGGGGUUUCCUAAGCUUCAAUAUCUCCUUCUGUCAAAGUUAACUGACUUGAGAGAGUGGGGUGAGGUAGAGAAGGGUGCUUUGCCCAACCUGCAUGGAGUACGCAUGUUCAUCUACAAGAAUCUGAAGGCACUGCCGGAAGGCUUCCAAUACCUGAGUUCCCUUCAGACCUUGCAACUUGAUUUCAUGUCUGAUGAGUUUGUGAAUCGGCUAAAGAAUGAAGACCAUUACAAAGUGCAACAUAUGCCUGUUGUUAGGCAUGACUACUAUGAAGUUGAAGAAGGUGAAUGGAAGGCUGAAAUCCUUUAGAGAGGUUAUGACCUUUAGAGCUUCAUUCAUUCUUGCACCCUUGUAAACCAGCAUAUUCAGAUUUCUUGUAUCUUUCUAUGAAUUGUUUCCCCCCCUGUUGUAUCCCCUUAAAAUCUCUUCAUUUGCUACUUUUGUUUGUUCGUCUCUAUUUUUGGAGAAAGGGAAUUUUCUUAAUAAAUGUUCUUGGUGGAGGUGUUUUUA